AUUGCUGGGGGGAUUAGUGGCGAACGGCUGAGUACACGUGAGUAACCUGCCCUUAACUCUGGGAUAAGCCUGGGAAACUGGGUCUAAUACCGGAUAUGACUCCUCAUCGCAUGGUGGGGGGUGGAAAGCUUUUGUGGUUUUGGAUGGACUCGCGGCCUAUCAGCUUGUUGGUGAGGUAAUGGCUCACCAAGGCGACGACGGGUAGCCGGCCUGAGAGGGUGACCGGCCACACUGGGACUGAGACACGGCCCAGACUCCUACGGGAGGCAGCAGUGGGGAAUAUUGCACAAUGGGCGGAAGCCUGAUGCAGCGACGCCGCGUGAGGGAUGACGGCCUUCGGGUUGUAAACCUCUUUCAGUAGGGAAGAAGCGAAAGUGACGGUACCUGCAGAAGAAGCGCCGGCUAACUACGUGCCAGCAGCCCGCGGUAAAUACGUUAGGGCGCAAGCGUUUAUCCCGGAAAUUAUUGGGCGUAAAAGAGCU
rnacentral:rRNA from 2 species